AUCUCACCUAGAUCAUACACUGUUGGAGAGAGCGUGGUGCUGAUAACGCCAAGGUUGCAGGUUCGAUCCCCUUAUGAGACA